rnacentral:rRNA from 1 species
CACGUAGGGUGCAAGCGUUGUUCGGAUUUACUGGGCGUAGAGCGCACGCAGGUGGCUGUGUAAGUUGGGUGUGAAAUCCCCUGGCCUAACCAGGGAAGUGCAUUCAAAACUGCAUGGCUUGAGUUCGGGAGAGGGAAGCGGAAUUCCUAGUGUAGAAGUGAAAUUCGUAGAUAUUAGGAGGAACACCGGUGGCGAAGGCGGCUUCCUGGCCCGACACUGACACUCAGGUGCGAAAGCGUGGGGAGCAAACAGG